UCUCAUCCUCAAAAGGAGCAGCCUGAUCUCAUCCUCAAAAGGAGCAGCCUGAUCUCAUCCUCAAGAGGAGCAGCCUGAUCUAAUCCUCAAAAGGAGCAGCCUGAUCUCAUCCUCAAAAGGAGCAGCCUGAUCUCAUCCUCAAAAGGAGCAGCCUGAUCUCAUCCUCAAAAGGAGCAGCCUGAUCUCAUCCUCAAGAGGAGCAGCCUGAUCUAAUCCUCAAAAGGAGCAGCCUGAUCUCAUCCUCAAGAGGAGCAGCCUGAUCUAAUCCUCAAGAGGAGCAGCCUGAUCUAAUCCUCAAAAGGAGCAGCCUGAUCUCAUCCUCAAGAGGAGCAGCCUGAUCUCAUCCUCAAGAGGAGCAGCCUGAUCUCAUCCAACAGUAAUCUGUGCUGCCCGGUCAUAUGGUCAACAAGGCAGCAUGGCACAAAAACAUGUCUUCAUAAAAUAUAGGUUUGAAUUGUCCAACGUGUUUCUCCUUGAGAAGGAACAAAUUAUUUGUUUUGUUUGUUAUCAAGCGCAAACAUUCUUAAAACUGUCUGUUUAAACUACUGGCACACAGCUCAGUCCCCCAUGUAAACCCAACAAGACAUGUUACCAGAGGUAUCUGUUUAAACUACACAGCUCAGUCCCCCAUGUAAACCCAACAAGACAUGUUACCAGAGGUGUCUGUUUAAACUACACAGCUCAGUCCCCCAUGUAAACCCAACAAGACAUGUUACCAGAGGUAUCUGUUUAAACUACACAGCUCAGUCCCCCAUGUAAACCCAACAAGACAUGUUACCAGAGGUGUCUGUUUAAACUACUGGCACACAGCUCAGUCCCCCAUGUAAACCCAACAAGACAUGUUACCAGAGGUGUCUGUUUAAACUACUGGCACACAGCUCAGUCCCCCAUGUAAACCCAACAAGACAUGUUACCAGAGGUGUCUGUUUAAACUACUGGCACACAGCUCAGUCCCCCAUGUAAACCCAACAAGACAUGUUACCAGAGGUAUCUGUUUAAACUACACAGCUCAGUCCCCCAUGUAAACCCAACAAGACAUGUUACCAGAGGUGUCUGUUUAAACUACACAGCUCAGUCCCCCAUGUAAACCCAACAAGACAUGUUACCAGAGGUGUCUGUUUAAACUACACAGCUCAGUCCCCCAUGUAAACCCAACAAGACAUGUUACCAGAGGUGUCUGUUUAAACUACACAGCUCAGUCCCCCAUGUAAACCCAACAAGACAUGUUACCAGAGGUGUGUGUUUAAACCACACAGCUCAGUCCCCCAUGUAAACCCAACAAGACAUGUUACCAGAGGUAUCUGUUUAAACUACACAGCUCAGUCCCCCAUGUAAACCCAACAAGACAUGUUACCAGAGGUGUCUGUUUAAACUACACAGCUCAGUCCCCCAUGUAAACCCAACAAGACAUGUUACCAGAGGUGUCUGUUUAAACUACACAGCUCAGUCCCCCAUGUAAACCCAACAAGACAUGUUACCAGAGGUAUCUGUUUAAACUACACAGCUCAGUCCCCCAUGUAAACCCAACAAGACAUGUUACCAGAGGUGUCUGUUUAAACUACUGGCACACAGCUCAGUCCCCCAUGUAAACCCAACAAGACAUGUUACCAGAGGUGUCUGUUUAAACUACACAGCUCAGUCCCCCAUGUAAACCCAACAAGACAUGUUACCAGAGGUAUCUGUUUAAACUACACAGCUCAGUCCCCCAUGUAAACCCAACAAGACAUGUUACCAGAGGUGUCUGUUUAAACUACUGGCACACAGCUCAGUCCCCCAUGUAAACCCAACAAGACAUGUUACCAGAGGUGUCUGUUUAAACUACACAGCUCAGUCCCCCAUGUAAACCCAACAAGACAUGUUACCAGAGGUGUCUGUUUAAACUACACAGCUCAGUCCCCCAUGUAAACCCAACAAGACAUGUUACCAGAGGUGUCUGUUUAAACUACACAGCUCAGUCCCCCAUGUAAACCCAACAAGACAUGUUACCAGAGGUGUGUGUUUAAACCACACAGCUCAGUCCCCCAUGUAAACCCAACAAGACAUGUUACCAGAGGUGUGUGUUUAAACCACACAGCUCAGUCCCCCAUGUAAACCCAACAAGACAUGUUACCAGAGGUAUCUGUUUAAACUACACAGCUCAGUCCCCCAUGUAAACCCAACAAGACAUGUUACCAGAGGUGUCUGUUUAAACUACACAGCUCAGUCCCCCAUGUAAACCCAACAAGACAUGUUACCAGAGGUGUCUGUUUAAACUACACAGCUCAGUCCCCCAUGUAAACCCAACAAGACAUGUUACCAGAGGUGUCUGUUUAAACUACACAGCUCAGUCCCCCAUGUAAACCCAACAAGACAUGUUACCAGAGGUAUCUGUUUAAACUACACAGCUCAGUCCCCCAUGUAAACCCAACAAGACAUGUUACCAGAGGUAUCUGUUUAAACUACACAGCUCAGUCCCCCAUGUAAACCCAACAAGACAUGUUACCAGAGGUGUCUGUUUAAACUACACAACUCAGUCCCCCAUGUAAACCCAACAAGACAUGUUACCAGAGGUGUCUGUUUAAACUACACAGCUCAGUCCCCCAUGUAAACCCAACAAGACAUGUUACCAGAGGUGUCUGUUUAAACUACACAGCUCAGUCCCCCAUGUAAACCCAACAAGACAUGUUACCAGAGGUGUCUGUUUAAACUACACAACUCAGUCCCCCAUGUAAACCCAACAAGACAUGUUACCAGAGGUAUCUUCACAAUCACCAAGUGAAGAACAGACUAUGGGAGGUGUACAGAACUACAUAGAACCAUGACUACAGGGAAAUCUAUUCCACAUUAGGUAACAAAAUGCACCUUAUGGAACAGGGAGGUACAACACACACACACACACACACACACACACACACACACACACACACACACACACACACACAGCUGGAUAGUGUUGUAGUAGAGUAGUGGCCGUGGGGCCACAUUGCAUUAUGAAAACUGCUGUAAAAGGUAUUUAACGUUUAAGAAUUGUAUUAUAAUGUAUAUUACUGCCUUACUCUUCCUGGGGUCCAGCUAAAAUGGAUCUGCUGCCUUGGCGUUCUACAUAUAAACUCAAAAAAAGAAACGUCCUCUCACUGUCAACUGCGUUUAUUUUGAGCAAACUUAACAUAUGUAAAUAUUUGUAUGAACAUGACAAGAUUCAUAAACUGAGAUAUAAACUGAACAAGUUCCACAGACAUGUGACUAACAGAAAUAGAAUGAAGUAUCCCUGAACAAAGGGGGGUCAAAUCAAAGUAACAGUCAGUAUCUGAUGUGGCCACCAGCUGCAUUAAGUUCUGCAGUGCAUCUCCUCCUCAUGGACUGCACUAGAUUUGCCAGUUCUUGCUGUGAGAUGUUACCCCACUCUUCCACCAAGGCACCUGCAAGUUCCCGGACAUUUCUGGGGGGGAAUGGCCCUAGCACCACCCUCCAAUCCAACAGGUCCCAGACGUGCUCAAUGGGAUUGAGAUCCGGGCUCUUCGCUGGCCAUGGCAGAACACAGACAUUCCUGUCUUGCAGGAAAUCACGCACAGAACAAGCAGUAUGGCUGGUGGGAUUGUCAUGCUGGAGGGUCAUGUCAGGAUGAGCCACAUGAGGGAGGAGGAUGUCUUCCCUGUAACGCACAGGGUUGAGAAUGCCUGCAAUGACAACAAGCUCCGAUGAUGCUGUGACACACCUCCCCAGACCAUGACGGACCCUCCACCUCCAAAUCGAUCCCGCUCCAGAGUACAGGCAUCGGUGUAACGCUCAUUCCUUUGACGAUAAACAUGAAUCUGAC